GAUGAAGAACGCAGCGAAAUGCGAUAAGUAAUGUGAAUUGCAGAAUUCAGUGAAUCAUCGAAUCUUUGAACGCACAUUGCGCCCGCCAGUAUUCUGGCGGGCAUGCCUGUCCGAGCGUCAUUUCAACCCUCGGGCCCCCCUCUGCGGGCGGCCCGGCGUUGGGGCUCAGGCGCCGUCUCUGCUCGGCGCCUGUCCCCUAAAUGCAGUGGCGGCCUCGCCGCUGCCUCCUCCGCGUAGUAGCACAAACCUCGCGGCUGGAAGGCGGCGCGGCCACGCCGUAAAACCCCCCAACUUUACCAAGGUUGACCUCGGAUCAGGUAGGAAUACCCGCUGAACUUAAGCAUAUCAAUAAGCGGAGGA
rnacentral:misc_RNA from 1 species